AUGGCCUGUUUGGGAGGAUGAAUCAUUCAAGAAAUACAUGUUUGCUGAUCAUGUUUUAAAGAAAGUCACACCAGUGAAGUGGUGGAAGUCACUUAAGCACUUGAAUUCAGAGACUGUUGAAGUGAUAAUGUCACUUAACAGCAGUACCUUCUUCUACUGGUGUAGAAAGAAUAUUUUCUUCCUUUGGACUAAUUCAUUCCAAAUUGAGAAAUCGUUUGGGACCCGAAAAAGCAGGAAAACUUGUUUCUUUUCCAGAUUAUG